AACCGGGCUAGCGGGCACGGGUACACACCGCGGCCGCCCGGCUCCGCCGUCCCGGCCCUCCCGCCGCCCGCUCCUCUCCACGCCCCUCCGCCGGCCGCUGCCCCCUCAGGGCCGCCAGCAGCGCGGGGAGGCGGCUGCGCAGCCGCCCUCCGCCCCCGACGGCCGCUCCCUCCCUUUCGCCCCCGAGACGGCGGGGAAGCUGCUGACACAAGCCUGGCCCCACCCUCUCCCUCAGCGCCCGCCCCGGCCCUGGCACCUUCCCUCCCUCCGCGCCCCGCCCGGCCCCAGCCCGCCCCCGGCGUCCGGCCGGAGCUCGGAGGUGAACUGAAUAUGUUGGUAUCCACAUUUCCAACAAGAGCUCAUUUUGGUCUCUAUACCUUUACACAUUCCGUGGCAAGACCCCACCUCCUCUUUCUACAGGGACAAAACCUGGGUCAUUGUAUUUUUUGGUAGCAGCAAAGCAUGCAUAAAGAGAUGGCUGACAUUACAGAUGAUGAAAUAUCUCAGUAAAGAUUCACCCAUGGAUGAAGAGAUAAGAGACACUGAUGCAAACAUGUCUGUGAAACAACCAGCAAAAAAAGGCUGAAGACUCCAGGGAAACCAAUGAACCACAGCAGUCCAUGGCAUGAUAACAUCAAUGAACAAAGAUAGAGGUUGUACACCAACAAAACCACCAAGUGUUCCUGUAUCACGCACCCAGGACGGCACAUACACCCUGAACAGGUAAGGAGAAUUCAGGCCUUAGCUUCUUCUUGCUCCUUCUGCCUGCUUUCCUCCCGACAUAAAGAUUGCCAACUGAAAGCAAAAGCUGCUGGGGCUAGAUGCAUAGCUAACAAACUGGGUAUGCAUUGCAAAGGUCAGGGCACCUAGCUGGAAUUUGAGUUGCUGGGGAUGAGCUGGUUGUAUGCUGGGGGGCCUAUGGAGGGAGGAGUGCAUGGGAGGGCUGGGUGUAAAGCCUGUGACAGGAGAGCAGAGCUGUGUCACUGGGGUCGGAACAUGGGUUGGCAUGGCAGAUUGAGGAGCAUGUCAGGCUGCUGUCGGACAGACCCUUAUUUGGUAACAAGGCUUGAAGCACAGUGCUUGUCUGCCACGUUCACAGCAGCCCUAGAGGCAGGCACAUCCAUGACAGACAUAGAGUCAGGAAUGGGAAAGUCCACUAAUUCAAGGGACUGCUAUGUGGCUAUGUAUCUGGACAGCACAAUCUGUGCCAUGACAUUUGAGUGAUGAGAAAACAGAGCCACUGGGGUGACGUUAUCUGUCUUUUGUUACCACUGGUACAAAGACAAACCUCAUUCUAAAAUGAUAGUCCUCAAAGAAGCUUUUAAAAGUGUUUAAUUACCAUUUAAACAGAAAAUGUGUCAUAUGUCUGUUUCUUGUACUAGGAUUUGUGUUGUCCACAUCUCUGUGUAAUUUAUCCAUUGCAUGGAAAUAGAAAAUAAUAGUGCCCCAGGGAAAGCACACUUACCAUGAAUGCAAAAUAUGUUGAAGGGGUAUAUUCAAAUUGUACAGCAUACCAUGACAACAAAUCAUAACCACAUUACCAGUUAAAGCUGGAGAAAAAAAUGUAUAGAGGUCAUCAUUAACGGAGUGCUCUUAUUACUUGGCUUAUACUAUUGCACAACUACAAAUAACAUUUAGUCCCCUGUGAUACAUAUUAUAGUAGGUCUACCUGAGGUCAGAAUUGAGUAACUGCCAUUAUUUACAGAGAAAAAUAUUGGCAUAUGUUUUUUCCAAAACAUAUUUUCUGACUCUCAUGUACCAAAAUUCCAUAGAGAAGUACCUUGACAACUUCAAGAACAGCAGACUAUUUCUGGGCUUGGGAACAGAGCAGUAGUACAUUCUCUUGUUAUUGAAUUUUUGUGCCUUGUUAAGGAAAAGCUGACCCUUCUCCAUCUAUAGACUUGCAUAGAGAUAGCCCAUUUCUGUAAUGACUUGUUUUUUCUCACUACCCAGUAUUUUGUUUUUCUUCCAGUUGAUGAUCUACUUUUUCCUUCAUCUCUCCUCAGCUGUGAACUUGUCAUUUAAGUGUUCAGAGAUUGUUCUUCCUUAGUAAGGACACCCUACCUUUUCUACAGACCAUCAAUAGUGAAUGGUCCUCUAGAGAGCCAGCACCAAGGAUUUUGGAGAACCAGAGCUCCAUACCCAUGUGUUAGACAGCAGUUGUCCAGUGACAAAGGGUCUGCAGUCAGUAAAAGCAAGGUGUGAACUGUCAUGACUUUGACAGCUCCCCCCUGAGACUGAAUGGGCACAUCCCUCUGUGUGACAGGACUGUAUUUAGCCAGGGAUGAACCGGGAAAAUUGAAGCCUAAUCUAGAAACACUAUUUGCCUGGCAAUCUGGAAAAUGUUAGUACUUUAAGGGUUCGAAGGAGUCAUUAUAAUUUAAAAACCCGUGGAGAUUCUUGACUUGGAAGCCUCAUAGACAGAGACAGAAGCUGGCCAGCUUUCAUGUAACUAUUAGGAAGAAAAAGGCAGAAAAAAACAAGGUGAAAGAAAAUUAAUAGAGGGUGCCUGGCACACUCUAUUAAUGUCCUGUUUAAAAAAAAUAAAAAAUUCAGGGUAACACACCCAAAUGCAGUGUGACCAAGUCUAUCCCUAACUUACCUGGUUUGUCCGACAGUUUAAAAUGAAGCUUAAGAUAAGGGGGUUUAGCAUGUACUGUUGGAUCAGAUGCUGGCCCAAACCCUUAGCUGGAUGUGUUUGGGCAGAAGUCUCUUUUCUAUUACAGGAAACUCUUUGGUGUCAAUUAUUUCCUUUAAAACUUCUAAAUACAACCGUUGUCUCCAAGGCUUAUGAGGCAGAGUUUUAAACAAGCAAACUUAACCAUAUGUUAUGCACAUGCAGGAAACAAAAUAUGAAAGCAUAUAUUUUUAUUUUUUUAUUGUAAUCUGCAUGAACUUAUCAUUGCUAGAUAGCUGUAGGAAUACAUUAGAUAUUAAAUCACCAUAGGAAAAUAACCACAUUUUUUAGGCUGUGUAAGAGUGGGAAUGAAAACGUAAAUUACGGAAAAUCAAUUUAUCCAGAGAACACUGAAAAUUUGAAGAACUUAUCUUUCCACAGUUCCUGGGGAAAUAUAUUAGUAUUUUUAAAGAUAGUCUUUAAGACUUGUAUUUGCUUCUGGUAAAGAUGCCUUGUACCAAUACGAGCAGUGUGUUUUAUAUACGUAAGCCUGAAAGGUUACAUUAUUACAUUGUCAUUUUUCUUUUGUCUUAAAAGAAGCAGACAUGAUGUUACUCAAUUUUAGUAUGAAUCAACUAUCUUCUUUUUGACAGUAGGCUAGUCUGUGUUAGCAAUGCUCAAGAAACUUACCUGGUGAGUGGAACAAGGCUGAGAAUUGAAGCUACAUUAGCUUCCUGAAGUAUUUAGCUGGAGAAGUCUGCCCUCUGAUUUAUGACUUCACUGCAUGUAAAUUGUGAGCUUAUUUUUAAGUGGUCUGAUCAGUAAUGUGUGUAAAUAAACAUGAGCCUGUGGAUGGCUCAUGUUUAUUUAAAACAGGUAUAGUUUGGUUAUUCAGUCUUUGGAAUUAUUCAAGCAGACUAAGUAACUGCACACCCAAGUCAAAUGCUGUGGUUGCUCUUCCAUGAGUAGACAACCCAAAUUUGGGGGCUAAAAGCAGAGGUACCUUGCAAUUAAGGAAAAGCAAGAUUUUCUUGCUUGUUGGGCCCUAAAUCAGAGCUCUCUAAGUAUCACUAUGCAUAAAAUGGUAGUCAAGAAAAGUACUUGCAAAAAGAAAACAAGGGAGGACUAGAGCAGUCUUAUGAUGUAAUCUGGAAAAGGCAAAAAAGGAGGAAUUCCUUCCAAAAUUCCACCGUGUGGGUGGGCAUUUUUUCUUCUCAAAUCCUUUGUAGAUAAGAGUUACCCUUGUGUUUCUUGGGCAGAAAAAAAUAGUAAAAAACCCCUAUGGGGAAGUCUUCAUAAUUUAAAAAAUACCAUAUACAUGAGCCAUCAACAAAUCAGCAGUCAUUUGAGUUGUACACAUUAACUUCCUCUUGACCCACUCCAAUUCAGAGCAGGGGUUUUCUGUUAUAUCACUGUACCCACAGUCUUCUUCCCUGGUGUAAACUGACAUGAUAUAGGAGACUUCACUGGAGAAACAAUUGAUGUCCCACAUGCAGUGACAAUGUGAUCUGCUUUUGGAACUUGAACACUUAAAAAAACAAACUUAUCCCUUGCAGUAGCACAUGGUAGUUUCCUGUUUUGCCUGUCUGAUGCUAUCCUGCACUUAGGCUCUGUCCUCUUGCAGCUCCUUUCUUGCAGCUUUCUUAAGAAUUUCCAGAUUCAAGGAGGUUAGAAUUCUGUGGCAUGACCAUACUCUUGUUCCAGGAGUGGGGACGAGAUGACUUGAUUCUUGGUUGCCUUCUUAGCCAUUUCUGUGCCCGACUAAAACUUGCUGCUCAUAUCUUUGUCAUUCUAUACAGACUUGUUUCACCCUUUGACUUGAAACAUCCUGUAUGUUUCCACCCACUGGCGCAUCUCUUUACAUCUUGUUUCUGUCCUGCUGUAGCUGGGAGUUGCUUUCACCAACAGUACAGCAUCCAUUUUAUUUUAUAUCUAGAAAAUAUAGUUUCAAAGCAGUUUUUGCUUGUUUUAAGUGCAUUAGUCUACUCCAAUGCCAGUGUCAUUCGUCUGUCUUCCAAACUAAUACUUCCAGUGUUCAAAUAUGGUAUGAAGCGUAGGAAGCGAAACAAGAAUUAUUCUGUUUUAGAAAAUGGAAUGCAAUGUGGUUUUUCUCUGAAGGGAGGCGUUGCAAGUAAGAUCAUUUACUAAUAUUGCCAUAAAUACACUGAAGUCAAUGGAGCUGCAUUGAUUAACUAUGCCUGCUAAAGCUCAGAGUAAAGUCCUUGUUACCAUUCAUUGUGCAAUUAUUACCCAAGAAGGGGUCCAGAGAAUGUUUUUUACAACACUGCUGGAAUGCUUUCUAUUACAGAAUACUAGCAAAACAAGAAUCCAAAAGCAGGUAUUCUAGUGUACUGCCCACUUGUAACUGGGUUAACACUGUAGAUAUUCUGUCUCAGAAACACACUUUACUGCAAAACACAGACUGUUCGACACACACUUUAAGUCAAGUGACUUAGAUGUUCAAGAAAACAAAUCUGAAACUCAGCUGAUUUCGUUCAUGUUAUCUUGGCAAUGCUGCAGAACUGAAAUGUAUUCCUUACACAAGAGACUGCAGUAUGAUAUGCAUCUGUUCUGCUCUGAAAAAAAACAAAGCAGCUCUCUUUUCACCCUGGACAUCUUUUCAUUGUUAAAGCAAAUAAUGAACAAAAUCAGAUAGUCUAAGAAAUGCAUGCUACUUAAUCUUUCAGUCUAAUAUUUUGCCAUCUGCAUGCUUGGGUGUUAGGCCUUCUUUCUAUUUGAUAUAAUAUGCUUCAAGUACUUGCAGCAGAGCAACACCUUGGCACAGCUGGCACACCAUUAGCGUGGAUGCCGUGACCAAAACCUCUGUCUCCUUCAGAACAUCAGAACAGAGAGCUUUCUGGAACAGCAUGUUUCUCCCUGAAAAUCUAUGGUCCUGUAAUGCUAUUUAAAUAAACAGAUGAGCAUGAUUGAA